ensembl:lncRNA
GACAUUAAUUGCUGUGCUAUCGACUGCCUGUCAGUGGCUCUGGCAGUUAGUCCAUCUUUUUUAGCAGAGACAGCCUGCUCAGCCCCAACUAGACUGACAAGCUAAUUAUACCCAUCUUCCCCUUCAAUGACAAAUGCUGCUCAUCGGAAACCUUUCUAGAAAUAAGCUCUCAUUCUUUCCCCUUUUUCCUGAGCCAGACAUAACGGAUAUCUCAAGGUGCAGAUCGCAGCUAAAACUCAGCUCACAGGGCUAUUAGCUCUGAACAUCUCACUUGAGCCAAAAAACCUAAGCAUCUUAUGUUAUCAAACUGUAUGUCAUUCCCUGAUGCUAGUUUUCAGGGAUGAGCAGGGGCCUGGCCUGUCAGUCAGAGCAGGGCAGAGAGAACCAAGCCGACUGAAUUAGCCAAGCUCUUCUUAACCAUCAACCGCGUGUAGCUCAGGCAUUGCUUUGAAAAGCGGGCACCCUGGUGUGUGACACAUGGAGGAGGCACCAGGAGCGAUGGGAUUCUCUUGCUUUAGGAGCACGCCUGCUAAUUUGGAAGAUACGACAUGCACAGAAACAGGUGCUUCUGAAUGCCUUUGUAAUCCUGCACCUGACUGCUCACCAGUUUUUGGGAUAGCAAGGUAACUGGAACACUGACAUCCAGCCAAGAUCAGGAAGGCUACCCUAUCGAUUCCAGUGGAAGCUCUGCAUUCAGCGGUG